GGGUGGAAGGGUAGCCUGGGUGGGCAGGGUGGAAGGGUAGCCUGGGUGGAAGGGGUGGAAGGGGUGGAAGGGUAGCCUGGGUGGAAGGGUGGAAGGGUAGCCAGUGAUUGGGCCAGUAAAGAUGGCUGGUUCGAAUUCUUUAGCCGACAAGGUGAGCAAGACAGUUAAGAAUCAUUUCUUCCAGGUUGUAAGAAUGUCUUCAAUAAUAGUUAGUAAAAGAGAAGGUAAUAGUUCCUGAUGUCACAGCAGUAAAAGCAGAGAUUCCUUUUGUUUAAAGUAAUAUUUCACCCAUUCAUCAGCUCUACUUUCUGGCCAUGUUCUUUUUCCACUCUGGAGGAAAUAUUUUGGGUUACAGUAUUUACUUCUGCCUCAGGAGUUACUGUGUGUGUCUGUGUUUGCGUUUGUUCUGGUACUGAUAUUCUGGAGUCUGGGCCUUGUUCACUUGCCGACAGAAUGUGGCCUUCAGAUUGCGGACCUACAUAUGUCCUGGGUGAAGCAGUUGUCCUGGUACAGCGCCGUGUCAGGGUGGCCUCAACCAGCUGAGCACAAGGUGUUGUUCUGUGAGCUGUCACAUACAGAGGCUGUAAAAUAUUACUGUACAUUUGAUCUGUGGCUCACAAAAAUGUGUGUAUCACCAAAAGGUAUUGACAUUACAAACAAAAUACAUUUUUGAAAGUUUCUACAAUGAGUGAACAUGCUUUUGUAGUAUUAUAAUAAAAUAUGUUUUAGAAAGUUAUUUAAAAGGUGUGUGUGUGUGUGUGUGUGUGUGUGUGAAGAGAUCUUCAGUUGUGCUUUCCAAAUGAGAUUCCACAGGAUGACUCAUCUUAGCCAUUUUAGCGGGUGGGUAAUUAGCUGUGUGGACCAAGAGCUGCACAUCUAUUCAAAUGUUCUCUUUUGUGGGACUGUCUGAGAUCUUGAUAAACUGUUUAAUGACUAAAGAACAAUGUCAAAAAUGUUGAUUGAAAUGCUUUGAUUAAAAUGGCUGUAUAUGGAUCAAAGAAACAAUCAUUUUGUAUAUUUAAUAUAAAGGCAAAAUACCUGAGAUUCUGUUUUUUUUGUGAAACAUUGUUUUUUCAAAAAGAAAAGUAGAUUGGAUCUGUCUCUUGAUAAGUUAGUUUGUAAAUUAAGUUUCCAGUUUCUCGGUGGGUCUAUUUUAUAUAGGAGUGUCCUUUAUUUUGCUGAGAUCUAUGCAAUAAGUUGAUUUCCAUUAACGUUCAUUGUAAUAUCCUUUUUUAAUAGCUGCAUCCCCAUGUACAAAGGAUUUGUACAAACAUUGAGAGGCUUCUGGUUUGAUAAACAUAACAAUAAAGGACUUUGUUCAAAUAGUGAAAUAUGCAGAAUGGAGUGUUGUCUUACACAAAAAUAUUUUCAGAUAUUCAUCAAAAGGACCAAAAAAAUUAUCUAAAUGUAUUUGAUCUAAUUUGAG
ensembl:lncRNA